rnacentral:piRNA from 1 species
AGCUAUUGUUGAUGGUAUCUGUUUUGUC